rnacentral:rRNA from 1 species
AUGAACGCUAGCUACAGGCUUAACACAUGCAAGUCGAGGGGCAGCAUGGUCUUAGCUUGCUAAGGCCGAUGGCGACCGGCGCACGGGUGAGUAACACGUAUCCAACCUGCCGUCUACUCUUGGACAGCCUUCUGAAAGGAAGAUUAAUACAAGAUGGCAUCAUGAGUCCGCAUGUUCACAUGAUUAAAGGUAUUCCGGUAGACGAUGGGGAUGCGUUCCAUUAGAUAGUAGGCGGGGUAAUGGCCCACCUAGUCUUCGAUGGAUAGGGGUUCUGAGAGGAAGGUCCCCCACAUUGGAACUGAGACACGGUCCAAACUCCUACGGGAGGCAGCAGUGAGGAAUAUUGGUCAAUGGGCGAGAGCCUGAACCAGCCAAGUAGCGUGAAGGAUGACUGCCCUAUGGGUUGUAAACUUCUUUUAUAAAGGAAUAAAGUCGGGUAUGCAUACCCGUUUGCAUGUACUUUAUGAAUAAGGAUCGGCUAACUCCGUGCCAGCAGCCGCGGUAAUACGGAGGAUCCGAGCGUUAUCCGGAUUUAUUGGGUUUAAAGGGAGCGUAGAUGGAUGUUUAAGUCAGUUGUGAAAGUUUGCGGCUCAACCGUAAAAUUGCAGUUGAUACUGGAUAUCUUGAGUGCAGUUGAGGCAGGCGGAAUUCGUGGUGUAGCGGUGAAAUGCUUAGAUAUCACGAAGAACUCCGAUUGCGAAGGCAGCCUGCUAAGCUGCAACUGACAUUGAGGCUCGAAAGUGUGGGUAUCAAACAGGAUUAGAUACCCUGGUAGUCCACGCAGUAAACGAUGAUUACUAGGAGUUUGCGAUACAAUGUAAGCUCUACAGCGAAAGCGUUAAGUAAUCCACCUGGGGAGUACGCCGGCAACGGUGAAACUCAAAGGAAUUGACGGGGGCCCGCACAAGCGGAGGAACAUGUGGUUUAAUUCGAUGAUACGCGAGGAACCUUACCCGGGCUUAAAUUGCAGAUGAAUUACGGUGAAAGCCGUAAGCCGCAAGGCAUCUGUGAAGGUGCUGCAUGGUUGUCGUCAGCUCGUGCCGUGAGGUGUCGGCUUAAGUGCCAUAACGAGCGCAACCCUUGUUGUCAGUUACUAACAGGUUCCGCUGAGGACUCUGACAAGACUGCCAUCGUAAGAUGUGAGGAAGGUGGGGAUGACGUCAAAUCAGCACGGCCCUUACGUCCGGGGCUACACACGUGUUACAAUGGGGGGUACAGAGGGCCGCUACCACGCGAGUGGAUGCCAAUCCCAAAAACCUCUCUCAGUUCGGACUGGAGUCUGCAACCCGACUCCACGAAGCUGGAUUCGCUAGUAAUCGCGCAUCAGCCACGGCGCGGUGAAUACGUUCCCGGGCCUUGUACACACCGCCCGUCAAGCCAUGGGAGCCGGGGGUACCUGAAGUGCGUAACCGCGAGGAGCGCCCUAGGGUAAAACUGGUGACUGGGGCU